rnacentral:rRNA from 1 species
AUACGGAGGAUCCGAGCGUUAUCCGGAUUUAUUGGGUUUAAAGGGUGCGCAGGCGGCCAUUUAAGUCAGCGGUUAAAUCGUGGGGCUCAACCCCAUUCUGCCGUUGAUACUGGGUGGCUUGAUUGCGGUCGAGGUUGGCGGAAUUCGUUGUGUAGCGGUGAAAUGCAUAGAUAUGACGAAGAACACCGAUUGCGUAGGCAGCUGACCAGACCGCAAAUGACGCUCAUGCACGAAAGUGCGGGGAUCGAACAGGAUUAGAUACCCUGGUAGUCCGCACAGUAAACGAUGAAUACUUGUUUUCGGCGAUAUAAUGUCGGAGGCAAAGCGAAAGCGAUAAGUAUUCCACCUGGGGAGUACGCCGGCAACGGUGAAACUCAAAGGAAU